rnacentral:rRNA from 1 species
GAUGAACGCUGGCGGCGUGCCUAAUACAUGCAAGUCGAGCGAACGGACGAGAAGCUUGCUUCUCUGAUGUUAGCGGCGGACGGGUGAGUAACACGUGGAUAACCUACCUAUAAGACUGGGAUAACUUCGGGAAACCGGAGCUAAUACCGGAGAAUAUUUUGAACCGCAGGGUUCAAAAGUGAAAGACGGUCUUGCUGUCACUUAUAGAUGGAUCCGCGCUGCAUUAGCUAGUUGGUAAGGUAACGGCUUACCAAGGCAACGAUGCAUAGCCGACCUGAGAGGGUGAUCGGCCACACUGGACCUGAGACACGGUCCAGACUCCUACGGGAGGCAGCAGUAGGGAAUCUUCCGCAAUGGGCGAAAGCCUGACGGAGCAACGCCGCGUGAGUGAUGAAGGUCUUCGGAUCGUAAAACUCUGUUAUUAGGGAAGAACAUAUGUGUAAGUAACUGUGCACAUCUUGACGGUACCUAAUCAGAAAGCCACGGCUAACUACGUG